GUGCACUUUGGGGUACAUGUAUCUUUUUGAAUUAGUGGUCUUUUUCUUCAGUUUUUGUUUUUUUCUUAUCUGGAAGAUGAGUCUUAACAGGGCAAGUAGAAAUACACAAGGCUUCUUGAGGUCUAGAUUCCAAACUGACAUGCUGGCCCUUCUGCCUCAUUGCGUUGGCCAGGUUAUGUGACCAGGCCCAGAUUCCAGGGUUGGGAAAUAGACUCCACCUCUCUAGAGAAGUUGCAGAGUGGCAUGGUAAAGGCAUGGGUUCACACAGGUGGGGAAGGAUUGGGACCAUGAAUACCACCGUAGGAAUGACAGGAGUAUGCUUGAAAGUAGAAAUGAAGGAAUAUGCAGGAUGAAGAAGAAGGUGAAGUAAGGAGAAAGAUCAAUACCAUAGGUCAGAGAAUUAACCCUUGGAAAAAAGAAAGAAUACUUCUGGGAGUGGAAAGAGAGGAAUUUGAUUGAAUUAGAUUUAGCAAAUUAAAUUCAAGAUGCCCAGUAAAAUUUAAACUUCAGGUAAACAAUGAACAAGUUUUUAGUAUUAAGUAUGUUCUAUACAAUAUUUGGCUGGAGAAGGAAAUGGCAGAAUACUCCCGUAUUCUUGCCUGGGAAAUCCCACGGACAGAGGAGCCUGGCAGACUACAGUCCAUGGGGCUGCAAAGAUCCGGACAUGACUGAGGACUCACGGCAUGGCAUACAAUAUUUGAUAGGCUCUCGGUCUGCUAUUUUUAUUGGUGUAAAUACCACUUAAAUAUUUAUGUAAUGCAGUAUUUUGGACUCAUUUACCCUAAACUAUGUUUCCUUAUUUAUUUGAAAUUCAGAUAACUCCUGACAACCUACAUUUUGACAACCCUACUUUGGAUGAAUUUUCAGUAAAGCCAUGGUGACCAUGCUUGGGGAUUUUCAUAGUUUGAGUAAUUCCCCUGAGCUCUGCCACCCAGCAAGUUAAAGAGGACAAGAUUGCUCCCUGGGGAUUGUAGUUCUUGGAAGGUCAGCAGCUUGUUUUCAUGAGGUCUGCACCCUGACCUGGCCUACUGUUAGGAGCUGUUGUGUUGGUGGUUUAUGCUGUUUUUAGUUGUUUCUUCCAUCUUACACAGUUAUUUGUAUAUAAGGAUUUUUGAAAAGUAAAUGUCUUAUGGGACUGUUUUGCUUCUACAAAGAAAAAUUAAAACUGUUUGAAAGUAAUUACUUGUGUGUUUUAUGUUUCUCUUUUAAAAUAAAUGAAAGUAUUAAUUGAUGUUGCCUGGAAAGAAAAUGAAGACCAGAGAAAUGGCUAUGCUCUUGGUGUUUUAAAAUAAGUCGAAGUCCUGGGGAACACCAUCCCCUCAUCUUCCCUUCCUCUAAGUAUGGAUGUAGAGAAGGAGAGAGUCGGGUCCUCCUUAAUGAAGAUUCAUAUCCAUGAUGGGUCUUCAACAAAAGGAGCAGGAACUCAGAGGACCCUAGGAGUAUGAGGUGGGGGAUGGGAGUGCACGCUGUACAUUCCAUUCUGAAAUUAUUUACGGUUUCCGUUGCUAAGUGGAGUUUGUUUUUGUGCUUUUUUUUUUUUAAAGGACUUUUUAUUAAAAAAGAAAGUUUCACAAAUACUCUGUUGUAUCUAAAGUUUUCAUUUUACAGGCUUUUUUAAAGGAAGGCUUCUGGUUAUUUUCUUCUUUAAGUUUCUGGCAUAGUGGGAAAUUAUUUUUACCGGCUGAGAUAUGCCUAAGACAACAGGAAAAGAUUCCUGUCUACUAAAACGUAAAACUGGAGUAUACACAUGAGUACUAUACUGUAGAUAAGCUAAAGUCAGAUUGUUGGAAUAAUGUUUAUCGUGAACAUACAAGUAAUAUUAACCUUUUAGAGUGUCUGGGAAUGACAAAUGAAAGCAGGAAGAUGAGAUCCAAUGCUUUUGUCUUGCCAACUUGUCCUUUCACUGUUGCAAACUGACCUUACAUUCCUACUCUUCCAGGCUCUCAUCCUGGCAGCUCUGUAGGCCCCUAUCUUACAUCCCCUCUAGAGAAUGUGCAUGCUGGUGAGUGACUAGAGGGCAGGCCCCCAGCACUACUGAGCCUCAUUUUCCCAGAGGGAGUAAUGCCAGUAUCCUUAUAUACACAGAGAUCCACAUGUACUUUGUGAUGAGUCUGAUGAAGGUCCCACAGCAUGAUGUACCACAACUUCACUCCAACCCAUGUUUCCAGUAGAUGAAGAGGGUUCUACAGUGUGUCCUGUACUGAGCUAACAAGAAGAAUCGUGGGACUCUUGUAUACUUGAAGAGAAAUAUACUGUGAAAAAAAUUCGCUUCAGUCGUGUCCGACUCUGUUCGGCC